rnacentral:sRNA from 2 species
UAAAUUAUCAAAACGAGCAUCAGAACCGAGUGGUCGGAAGUUCGAGCCGAGCGUAGCGAGACAACGUUGCUUUAGCAAGGCCCGUAGGGCGAGGCGUAAGCCGAGUCAUCUUCCUGGGUGCACCA